UUUUUUUUCUUUUUUCUUUUCUUAAGACCACACCUGCAGAAUAUGGAAGUUUCUGGGCCAGGUAGAGCUGCAGCUGUAUGUCUACGUCACAGCCACAGCAACAUUGGAUCCAAGCCGCAUCUAUGAGCUACACCACAGCUUCUGGCAACACCAGAUCCUUAACCCACUGAGUGAGGCCAGGAAUCAAACCUUCAUCCUCACAGAGGCAAUGUCAGGUCCUUAACAUGCUCAGCUGCAACAGGAACUCCUUACUGCAGUUUCUUGCAAUAUUUUGGGGCCAAAAGGAAAUGCUUCAAGUUCUGAUAUAAAAAGGCCCCAGAAUACAUACUCUAGGGGCCCAUUCAACCUUCAGACAUACAGCCACACCUACUAUAUCCAUAACCAUAGCCAACACCAUCCAUAACCUCACCCACUUGGGCAGGCAUUCAAGCUCACACUAUAGGCUCAAUGCCCCCAAUUCCACCUGGGUCUACAAAGCCUCCUUCGAUUGCUUCUCCACUCACCCGGGCACUGGGAUGGCCCUCCUCCACUCACAGCCCCCUACCACUUCCACACUGCACUCAACUCACAGACUCAGAUACACAACCACACCCCCAAGGUUACAGCCAUGCAUUACAGCCCAAUGUACAAAGUUAAACAUGCAAGGAUUCUCAGGCCAGACAACCAAUGCCCCCACCCCUCUCUGUAACUAUGUUUAUAGUUACCCCCUCUUCCAACCUGGAAUCACACUGAUGGUCUCUGCUUUGGUCAAAUUCAUAUGCGAAUGUGGCCAGUGUUAGACUGGCUGGUAGGGGUCAUAUCCCUGUCACCAGCUCCAGAGUGUCCGCAUGUCACACAAAGCUAGGAGACAUGUGACAAGGGUCGUUGCCUUCCAAUAAAGAUGUCUUUGCCCCUCCUCCAAAAAGUAGUGGGGGAUGGGAAAGGAAACUGAGGGAGAGACGAGGAAAGAAGAAGGGGGAUACUCAACCCAAAGCAAUAGAUGGCUUCUCUGUCCUGAGCCUGCUUCCUACUUGGCCCCAAGGAAAAGAGAGCAUUCCUAUAGGAUCUGGCAUCUAGUCCCUUGAAGGAGCCUUAGAUAUCUGGGUUCCAGAAUGAGGCAGAUGUCUGGGGGAAAAAUUUUUGCCCCUCAGAGUAAUCUCAAGGGAUAGUUCCUGGUUCAAUUUAUGCUCAUUGGAAAUGGGCAAAAAUAACAGCAAAAACACUUCACAUUCAAAACACUUCAGGAUACUGUCGUCAUGGUAUUAUAAUCACAUACUUUCAAGGCAUUAUCUCAUUUUAUGCAACUUGGCCUGUUUGUCAUGUCCAAGCUUCUGUGUAACUGCGGCCAGGAGAAUAGAAGUCUGACUUCUGGUUCUUGGGAAUGCCAUUCAAGCUCCUUCUAGGUAGAAUUCCUCAUCCUGAUAAAGAGAGAAUGAGCCUGAUGGUGUCUGAGGCUCCUUCCAGUUCGGAUGUUUUAUGCUUCUACACAUCUAUAGAGCAGCAAUGUCCAAUAGAAAUUUAAUGCAAGCUACAUACAUAAUUUUUUUAUAUAAUGAUUUUUAUUUUUUUCAUUAUAGCCGGUUUACAGUGUUCUGUCAAUUUUCUACUGUACAGCAUGGUGACCCAGUUACACAUACAUGUAUAGGUUCUUUUUUCUCACAUUAUCAUGCUCCAUCAUAAGUAACUAGACAUGGUUCCCAGUGCUGCACAGCAGGAUCUCAAUGCCUAUCCAUUCCAAAGGCAAUAGUCUGCAUCCGUUAACCCCAAGCUCCCAGUCCACUCCACUCUCUCCUCCUCCCCCUUGGCAACCACAAGUCUAUUCUCCAAGUCCAUGAUUUUCUUUUCUGUGGAAAGGUUCAUUUGUGCCAUACAUACAUAAUUUAAAAUGUUCUAGUUGUCCUGUUAAAGUCCAAAAAGGUAGGCAUUUAAAUAAUAUAUAUUAUUUAGCCCAACGUCUCCAAAAUAUUAGCAUCUCAUCAAAGAAUCAAUGUUUAAAAAUUAUCAUGAUCUAUUUUACAUUCUUUUCUUAAACUAAGUCUUCAAAAAUCUGGUAUGUAUUUUACAUUUACAGCACGUCUCCAUUCGGAUGCUAAGUUUUCGUUGGAAAUAUUGAAGCUGUUUUUAGAUUUUUAUAAAAAUUUACAGUUGUAAAAGUAAAAGGUAUGAUCUGCAUACCUAAGCUGUUCCAAACAAAUUUAAGAAAUUUUUUCCAAUGACUGAAUCAAGCAUUUACCCCUAAAGUAAAAUUAAAGAUUUUGAUCUUCAGUGGUACUAGGCACAUUUCUGUGUCCCAUAGCAGCAGACAGCUGGUGGCUACCAUAUUGGACAUCUGGACAGUGGGGACUGGGGCAUGGGGGCAGAUAAGCAGGACUCCUACAGAGGGCUCCCCUCUUCUCCGUUCACUCUUACCCACAGAGAAGUGGACGAACUGCUAGUUGAGAAUGAGAUGAAGAGUGGCAAGAUUUAAUGGCCAAUGAUAUUCCAUCAACACCUGCCCACCACCUCGCCGUCUGCGUGCCAAGAAGGCAGAGAAAAGGCUGACCCACCUUGCCCAUGGAAAGAGUCUCUAGCUCCUUUCCACAGAGCCGCUGCCAACCUUUCCACAGGCGGUGGCCACAUUUCCAGCUCAGACGCAGAGGCACGAGCAGGCGUCUGAGCUUCCUUUUCUUACCCAAAGGAAUGCCCGCCAGGCAGCUGGCCAAGGCUGCAGCCCAGACUCUACGUGUCAUGUUGGGGAUUUGGGCUUUAUGAGCACAAGUCAGUAGCAGGGUGAUGGGAGGUGGGGAGACAAGAUACCAGAGGGACAGCAGGUGAAAGAUAAGUAUCAGAAAGCAAAGUCAAGAGUACACACCAUUCCAGGCUCUGCAUUAUAACAUGCACUCUGGGUGUCCCUGGGUUUCAGAAAUACUACCCAGAACCUCAUCUCUGAGGAAGGGAUAGCUUUGCAAGAUACCUCCAGGAAGAUCCUUUUAUGUUUCUAGGAUGAUUGUUUCAUGCUUCCUAGAGAAGCGAAGAAAAGUUAAAACUAGUCGGGGCUUCGCACAUAGUGUUAUUAUCGUCAUGGAAAAAUUGAAACUAAAAUAACUUGCUCAAGGUCAUGGAGUGACAAAGCUGCAAUUUAAACUCAAGUCUGUUUGAAUCCAAAGCCUGCACUCUUUCCACAAGUAAUACCUAAUGAGAAUAGAUGAUGUUUACUGCACUGGGCCGUGUGCCUGGCACCAUGCUGGAUACUUUAUAAAAGUCAACUCAGUGAUACAACAUUUCUGUGAAGUAUGACCUCCUGCCCAUUUUAUAAAGAAAUCCAGUCUCAAAGAGGUUAUGCAACUUUCCCAAGGUCUUGAAACUGGUGAUAGAGUGGAGGUUUGAACCUGACUUCUAAGCUCAUGCACUUAGCUAUGACAUAAUGCCUCUUAUUUUUAGUAAGAAAACUAUGACAUAAUGCCUCUUAUUUUCAGUAAGAAAACUAUGACAUAAUGCCUCUUAUUUUUAGUAAGAAUACUCACAGUAGAAGACACUGCUGAUCUACCCAUUGCUCACCCCUGAGCUCACUACAGAUGGAACAGUUUCGGGUUCCUGACGCCGUCCUACCUCUAGUACCUGCAUUUCUGUUUCUUUCCUGAAAGCUUUCUCGGGCACCUGGGGAACUCUACACCUCCUGGGGGUGCAUGAGGUAGGACUUCCCUGAUGAAGUACCACAAACUGAGUGGCUUCCAACGACAAAAAUCUCUCUCUCACAGUUCUGGAGGCAAUGAAGUCCCAAAUCCAGGUGUCAGCAGAGUCACGCUCUCUCUGAAGGCUGUAGGGCACAUCCUUCUUUGCCUCUUCAUAGCUUCCUGCAGUGGCCAUAAUCCUUGAUGUUCCUUGCUGUGUGGCAGCCUCACUCCCAUCUCUGCCCCAGGCUCCAUGUGAUCACCUUCCCUCUGUGUCUCCGUCUUUGUGUCUCUUCUGCCUAAGUCCCCUUUGGUCCAAGUGGGUCUCCAGAGUGGCCCCCUCAUCCCUACCUCUUCCAGGUACAGAAUGGGGCAAGGGGCCCCCAGGAGAUGGGUAUCUACACCUCCAGAUAUCUAAACAUAUCUAUUGAUUCCAUUGCCAAUAAGCAUCUGUGAGCAUCCAGGAACUUUCAGUGUGAAGCAGAUCUUCCUAUUGGGCUAGCAACACCAAAACCACUUUCCAAACAUGGGGUCUGCUAUAGGUUGAAUUAUGCCCCCCAAAUUCAUAUGUUGAAGUCAUACCCCCCCCAAUACCUUAGAAUGUGAACUUAUUUGGAAAUAAGGCCAAUGCAGGUGGAAGUAGUUAAAAUGAGGCCAUUCUGGAGUUGGGUGGGUCUCUAAUCCAAUAUAACUGGUAUCCUUACGAAAAAGGGAAACUUGGAGACAGGACGACACAGAGGGAGAAUGCCAUAUGAAGACUGGAAUGGUUCUGCCAAAAGCCAAGGAACAACCAGAAGCCAUGAGAGAGGCUUGGAACACAUCUUUCCUUAGGAACAUCAGGGGGAACAUGGCCUGCUAGCACCUUAAUUUUAGACAUCUGACCUCCAGAAUAAAUUUCUAUUGUUUAAGCCACUCCAUUCGUGAUCCUUUGUUGUGGAAGCCCCAGAAAACUAACACAUGGCAGUGCAGUCUCUGCCUGUUCUCUCAUUUGGUAUCUACCAGCAGUGUGGUCCUGACCCAAGUCCCUCUGGAUGGAAAGAGAUAAAAGAUAGCCCUGAGGGCCACAGGAUAGACUCAGGACCCCUCUCCUGCUGGGGUGUUAAUGUUCUUCUCUUGGUUUCCAUUGUGUCUCUGACCUCUGACCCAUCACAUCUCAGGCUCUCAUAAUUAGUGGGAGUGGUACUUCCAGCUUCCCUUGCAGUCCUCUGGGUUCACUGCAGACAAAGUGGCUGUGAAAAGGGUGGCAGUGUUGCCUGGCUGGGAAAGCCUCUUUGGGAGAGAGAUGCUGAUGUCCAACCCCAGGGACAUGGAUCCUGGCCCCCUCAGAAGAGCAGCAAAGCUACUGGUCUUCCCUCACCACUCAAUCAGGCUAGACCCUCUGGGUUUGUUGCCAUGGAGACAAGCAGGCUACAGCUGCCUGAUUCUGACACUGACAAAGUCACUGUGUUUGGAGGCAUCUGAUAGACCUGUUUGAAUCAGGAUGCAAAUUACAUCCACGUGUUGGAUUGGUUAAUGUUUCUUCGAUUUCUUUUAAUAGAUUCCCCUGCUCUCUCUUCUUCCCCUUUGCAAUUUAUUUGUUUUGGAAAGUGAAUCAUUUGUCCUAUAUAAUCUCCAUAGUUUGGGUUUUGUUGAUUGCAUUCCUGUGUCAUCACUUCACAUACUCCUCUAGACCAUGUGUUUCUCAUACAUUAGUAAUUCUAGAGGUGUGGUCAGAUUCAGAUUUGAUUUUGUACCAGAAAUGCAUUAUGGUUGGUGCAGUGGCCUUCCAUCAAAAGCUACAUAAUGUUGGAGUUCUUGUCAUGCGCAGCAGAAACAAAUUCGACUAGGAACCAUGAGGUUGCAGGUUCAAUCCCUGGACUCGCUCAUUGGCUUAAGAAUCUGGUGUUGCUGUGAGCUGUGGUGUGGGUCACAGCUUGGAUCCUAUGUGGCUGUGGCUGUGGUGUAGGCCGGCAGCUGCAGCUCUGAUUUGACCCCUAGCCUGGGAACCUCCAUAUGUCUCGGGUGAGGCCCUAAAAAGCAAAAAACAAAACAAAACAAAACAAAACAAAAAACCCCUGCAUAAUGUCUCUUGAUCUGUCCCUUUGAGAAGUAAGCAGGCUUUCAUGAUCUUAGCCCAGAUCUACAGAUUUUAUUAGAGGUUACAAAAUAGUGGUAAUCUAAACCUAUCAGUACUUUUCCUUUUUUAGCUGGAAUGUUUCUAUAAAGAGAAACUUAUCUUUAUCGUGAGAUACAGUCUACACAGGAAAAGAAAGGUAACUGCUUAUAUUCUUUCCCUUUAAUGGCCAGCUUUCAAAAUAAUGACUAGAACAUUCUCCAAAGGUGACAAGGAGGUUUUAUUGUUGUUGUUGUAGCUGUUUUUCUCUAGAAUCACUACCUGUUGGUACCUAUAUCAACAACUUGUGGAAACAAACAUAUGUUAACAUGUUUAAGUCCACUGCAGUUCUUUUUCUUAUAAUGCUCAAAUUAUCUGAAUUUUUUUUUUUCUCUUAAGUAGCACUGAGAUUGUCUGAUCUUUAAAGGUUUGGUAGAAUUCACCUGUGAAACCUUUUGGGCCUGGUGCUUUUUUUUGUAGGGAAGCUCUUUAAUCAUUUUCUCUAUGUCUUCUAUGGUAAUUGAUAUGGUAGGACUUUUUCUCUCUACUGUGGUUAAUUUAAGUGAAUUGUAUUUUUCUAGAAAAUGAUCUGUUUCAUCUAGGUUUUCAAGUAAUUUUGCAUAGAGUUGAAAAAACAAUCUGUUAUGUUCUUAUUUUAGAUUUCCUCUGCUUUGAUGGUUUUCCCUACCCACCCACUGUUACUAUUUCUUACGUAGUAUAUCUCUGCUUUCUACCAUUUAUUUUCUUAAUUAGCUUAGCUGGUGGUUUGUAUAUUUUGUUGAUCAUUUCAGCUCUGAGUUUAUUAAUUCUUCUAUUUUCUAAUGCAUUAAUUUCUGUUGUUGUCUUCACUGAUUCCUUUCUUCUAGAUUAUUUUGGCUUUGUUUUUCUUUUCUAGCUUUUUGAGUGGGGUGCUUGAUUAAUUUUUUUCAUUUUAGUUGACAGAGGUAUUUAAUGCUAAACUUUCCCUCUACUAACUGCUUUAGCUGAAUACCACAGUCUUGAUUAUUUGUGUUUCCAUUAUCAUUAAAAAGUCUGUAAUUGCAUGUUGCACUUCUACUUCUGACAGAUGCUUAUUAACACAAUUUUUUUUUUUGUAAUUUUCAGAUGGCAUGGUCUUUUAAGUUUUUUUUUUUUGUUUUUUUUUUUUUUUUUUCUUUUUGCUAUUUCUUUUGGCCGCUCCGCCGCAUAUGGA
ensembl:lncRNA